AGCCAACCGCUGGAAUGGAUGAGAAACAAGAGACAGUUUAUUCACGGCUUUCAUAACAUCUAACUCUAUCAAACAGUGACAUUAGCUGUUGUUUAACUGUCGCUAAACUGGGCUAUUAAAGACGUUGUUCUAUCUAAAAAAUGGCCCGAUGUCCCUCUGAAGCUAUGAAUCAAUUUGGCCUAGCCAUACUAGAUAGCUAAUGCAUAGUGCUAAGCUAACAGCACAACCAACCCAUUUCUGACAGAACAGUGAUUAAUAAGUUCACUAAAUAAACAAACUGGUUCUAUAUGUAAAGAUUUAUUUUUUUUUAGAAACUGCAAAAAAAAAAAACCCAAAAAACGAGAUGACUUAACAACAAAAAAUAAAUCAAAUUUGGCACUUCUGACCUGAACUGUUUUCUCCAAAAGCUUAAAGAAAAUGUUUUAGUUUUGUUUAAUCGUCCAUUUUCUAACCAGCACGUUGGUCAACAUUGCCACUUAGCAUGUGUUCCUGUGGGCAUGUUAGCACGCAUUAGCAUUUAACUCAAAGCAGCUAUGCCUAAGAAGCCCAGAGCCUGACAGAGCAGCUAGCUGUAGUUUUAAAAUCUUAGCUUUUUAUAUUAAUACUACAAUUACUUUUUUUGUGGGUCUUACAUUUUGUCAACCAAACAUGCUAACUGAUAGCAAACGAGACAAGAGCUUUGGACCACAUCUGGUGUUACUUCAUAAUUAAAAGCCUCUUAGUUCAACAUCAAAACUUUAAACUCUGUAACCUCUUUUACUGUUACAUUUGUGAAACGCUGUCUCCUUUUGCUUUCAUGUGUGAAUCAGUAAUUACCUCUGGGCGGAGAAGCUGCCAGGAGCCACAGCCAGAUGAGUAGAGGCAAAGAAUGUGUCCAUCUCCGCUGUCGUUCAAGGCCGAGGCCAUACAUCCUCCUGGAAACACAAGUUGCUCCUCCUUGCUCCUCCAGUAUCCACCUGUCUGUUACACAAGAGCAUCGUCUGCGUGGUCCGCUGCCAGAGUUUGGUGCGUGAGCGUGGCGGGGUGGUGCAUUCAGGAAAUCAGAAAUUCUGAAAUGUGACAUGCCCGAGGGAGACACUCGACCUUAUAAUGACACACCCCCACACAAAGCACAGGGAGGAGGGAAGAUGGAAGACACAUGUGAGACAAUACAGACAAUAAACUAUUCUAUCUAUCUAUCUAUCUAUCUAUCUAUCUAUCUAUCUAUCUAUCUAUCUAUCUAUCUAUCUAUAUGUUGUAUUUCUAUGUUAUUCUGUCUCAGUGUGACUGGAGGGCAGCAGCUGGUAUUACAGGAUGCAGGACCAGACAGUUCCUGGACAGUGUAUUAGCCUUUAUCUGCUGCGUGUGUGUGUGCAUACCUGAGUGUGUGUGUGUAUGUGCAGAGAAGUAUGUGGGAUGCAGCAAAUUGCAGAAACAGGCAGAAAUUACACGGUGGGCUUGAGUAUGAAAUGUUGGAUUCGGGUUGACAAACCGGUCACACAUCUUCCCUCUCUCUCUCUCUCUCUCUCUCUCUCUCUCUCUCUCUCUUACUCACACACACACACACACACACGCACACACACACACACACACUGGUGGCUGUGAACAUGAAGAACAGCAUCUGACGUCAGACGUAAAAUGAAUCCAAACAAGACAAGAGGAGCCUCGGGGCGACACGGCGCUUCCAAUCUCAGUGUGUCUUUACUUGUCUGUGUGUGUGUGUGUGUGUGAGUGUGUGUGUAUCUAGAUAAUUAAGUAGUUCACACUGACCACAAGGGGGCAAUAAAGACUGCAGCGAGCUUUCCACUGGA